UACGGAGGGUGCAAGCGUUAUCCGGAUUUACUGGGUUUAAAGGGUGCGUAGGCGGGUUGUUAAGUCAGUGGUGAAAGAUUCGAGCUCAACUCGGAAACUGCCAUUGAUACUGACAAUCUUGAAUAUAGUUGAGGUGGGCGGAAUGUGUCAUGUAGCGGUGAAAUGCUUAGAUAUGACACAGAACACCGAUUGCGAAGGCAGCUUGCUAAACUAUUAUUGACGCUGAGGCACGAAAGCGUGGGGAGCGAACAGGG
rnacentral:rRNA from 1 species